rnacentral:rRNA from 2 species
GGUCUGCCACAGAGUGACAAAACUUUUUCUUAGUCGAAUGCUUCUGGAAAGGGCAACCGUAGAAGGUGAUAGUCCCGUAGACGAAAAGGAAAAGUCUCUGCUUGUGUUCUUGAGUACCACGGGACACGUGGAAUCCUGUGGGAAGCUGGGGGGACCACCCUCCAAGGCUAAAUACUCCUGAUGACCGAUAGUGAACCAGUACCGUGAGGGAAAGGUGAAAAGNNNNNNNNNNNNNNNNNNACCCCGGGAGGGGAGUGAAAUAGAAUCUGAAACCGUGUGCUUACAAGCAGUCAGAGGUCCGAUUUAUCGGACUGAUGGCGUGCCUAUUGAAGAAUGAGCCGGCGAGUUAAUCUGUGUGGCUAGGUUAAGCAACUAAGUUGCGGAGCCGAAGCGAAAGCGAGUCUGAAUAGGGCGAGGCCCAGUUUACUGAGCAGGUCGCAUGGAUCAGACCCGAAACCGGGUGAUCUAUCCAUGGCCAGAGUGAAGCUCAAGUAAAAUUGAGUGGAGGCUCGAACUUGUGAGUUAGGCAAAACUUUAGGAUGAGCUGUGGAUAGUGCAGGUGAAAUGCCAAACGAACCCGGAAAUAGCUGGUUCUCCCCGAAAUGCAUUUAGGUGCAGCCUCAGGAAGUAAUUUACGGAGGUAGAGCUCUGGAUGAGCCAGGGGCCGUGAGGUUACCGAACUCAACCAAACUGCGAAUGCCGUAGGUAUAAUCCUGGGAGUGAGACUGUGGGGGAUAAGCUCCAUAGUCGAGAGGGAAACAGCCCAGACCAUCAGCUAAGGUCCCUAAGAGCAGGCUAAGUGGGAAAGGAAGUUGUGUCGCACAAACAGCCAGGAGGUUGGCUCAGAAGCAGCCAUCCUUUAAAGAGUGCGUAACAGCUCACUGGUCGAGUGGUACUGCGCCGAUAAUUUAACGGGGCUCAAGUCUGCUACCGAAGCUAUGGUAUCGCCUGCAAAGGCGAUAGGUAGGGGAGCGUUGUCAUGGCUGCGAAGCAGUGGUGUAAGCCAUUGUGGAGCAAUGACAAGUGAGAAUGUCGGCAUGAGUAGCGUGAAGGCAUGUGAAAAUCAUGCCCACCGUAAACCUAAGGUUUCCUACGGAACGUUUAUCGGCGUAGGGUUAGUCAGGCCUAAGCUGAACCCUGAUGGGGUAAGCGAUGGAUAGCAGGUUAAUAUUCCUGCACCGCUUAACUUUUGUUUUAAGGCAAAGGGGGGACACAGGAAGGUAGGUUGAGCAUGCCUAUUGGACAUGGUGUGUUUCCAACUCGAGGUGCAUCGGGGCAGGCAAAUCCACCCUGAUAUUAAGCUGAGGGGAGGGGGAAUUUGAGGGGCAACCCGAUAAAACUCAACUGAGCCUAUACUGUCAAGAAAAGCCUCGUUGCUAAAAAUUUGAGCGCCCGUACCGCAAACCGACACUGGUAGGUGGGGAUAAAAGUCCCAAGGUGAUCGAGAGAACCCUCGUUAAGGAACUCGGCAAUCUAACCCCGUAACUUCGGGAGAAGGGGGCCCACUUGUAAUAAUAGGGGGGCACAAAAUUGGCCCAGGCGACUGUUUAACAAAAACAUAGGUCUCUGCUAAAGCGAAAGCUGAAAUAUAGAGGCUGAUACCUGCCCGGUGCCAGAAGGUUAAGGGGAGAGGUUAGGAUGGUAACAUUCGAAGCUUUGAACCGAAGCCCUGGUGAACGGCGGCCGUAACUAUAACGGUCCUAAGGUAGCGAAAUCCCUUGUCGGGUAAGUUCNNAUCUGGGCGCUGUCUCAACGAGGGACUCGGUGAAAUUGAAAUGGGGGUGAAGAUGCCCUCUACCCGCGACAGGACAAAAAGACCCUAGCAGCUUUACUAUAGCUUGGCACUGAGCUUAGGCUGGGCAUGUGUAGGAUAGGUGGGAGGCUGUGAAGCUGGGGCGUCAGCCUCGGUGGAGCCAACGGUGAAAUACCACUCUUGCUUAGUUUUGGUUCUAACCCACCUUAGGGUGGGGACAAUGUCUGGUGGGUAGUUUGACUGGGGCGGUUGCCUCCUAAAAGGUAACGGAGGCGUCCAAAGGUUCCCUCAGCACGAAUGGAAACCGUGUGUAGAGUGCAUUGGCAUAAGGGAGCUUGACUGUGAGACCUACAAGUCGAGCAGGGACGAAAGUCGGGCAAAGUGAUCCUACGGUACUGUGUGGAAGGGCCGUGGCUUAUCGGAUAAAAGCUACGCUAGGGAUAACAGGCUUAUCUUGCCCAAGAGUUCACAUCGACGGCAAGGUUUGGCACCUCGAUGUCGGCUNNAGCGGCACGCGAGCUGGGUUCAGACCGUCGUGAGACAGGUCGGUCUCUAUCCGUCGUGGGCGCCGGAGAUUUGAGGGGAGCUCUCCCUAGUACGAGAGGACCGGGAGGGACAGACCUCUGGUGUGCCAGUUGUUCCGCCAGGAGCAUUGCUGGGUAGCUAUGUCUGGC